GCUCUCCAGAGAGCUGACACCCCUUCACUGGGGUGCACGAGCAGAAUAGACAGUGAGACCGGGCCCUCCCAGAACAGAAUGAAGCUGACGAGGUAGGUGCCAUUGUUGAAGUCUGUCACCUUUCCAGAAGCUCCUGCCUUCAGGGCUGGGGAGAACAUCCUGGCCCUCAGGAAGUCCCCACCAUACCCCUUCCUGUUUCCUAGGUGGUCUCUAGCCUCUACUAGGAUGUCCAGCAGGUCCCCCACACAGUAUGUAUCUUGAGGGUUGAGGAUGGUGGCCGUGCUGUGUGUGGCGCUUGUGGUGUAGUUGAGGUGGGUGAAGGGUCUGGGAGGUAUCUGCCGAUCCAGCUUCUCCAGGAUCUCCCUGACUUUCAGCUCUGUCUCUGUUGGUGACUUGUCUUGUUGGUGGCCUGUCAUUUUAGGGAUCUCCUCUUCUAGCUUAAUCACUGGUAGUAACUUUGACUGGCUCAUUGGAAUUUCAGGACAGGAGGACUUCAUGGAUGUGUUCCAGGGAUGGAAACAUAUGGCUGUGUUUAGAGUGGUCCAAAGCUGGAAUGACAAGAAAUAUAGUGGUGCCCUUUAAAGAGGAACCUGUUCCCAGUCAUUUGUACUUACAAUGAGUUAGAGUUUGACAGGAAUAUAUUCAUUUUAAAAUAAGAAACUGGAGAAUAAGAAGUUGAUGAAGUGAGUUUGCUCUUUUAGAUCCUAUAUACUUUGCAGCCUGUAACUACUUUUUGCUGGUUUCCCACUGGCUGAAUAUUUCUGAUGGCUAGUCCAAUUAUAUAAUGUGAAAAAUGAGGAAAACUGAACAAUUGGUUUUAUGACAGUUUUAUUCUAAAAUUUGAUUAGUAUAAUAUAGAGAAGGUAUAAACUUUUCAUACCCAUGAACAUGGCUUUUAAAUUCUUUCUCUCCAAAAUGGUAUUACAUGUUUUUAUAUACACAUGGUUAUAUAAACAUGCAAUAAUGAAAUUUAUAUAUGUAUAGGAAUGCAUGAAUGUGUUUAUUUUGUCUUUCUAUGGGGUUAAUUUAGAAUUACAGAGAUGGAUUCAGAAAUAACAAAUAUUGCAAUAUAACUUAUAUUUUAAUGGAUUAGAGGCAAAAUCCCAUUGUAUCCUAACUUAUCUGAUUGUAAUUGUGCCUCAAACUCCCAAUUCUGCUGUUUCAGUCUCCUGAGUGAUGGGAUUACACACACCUGAUAUUUAAAUACAGAAGUGCCACAAGGAAAACCACAGGAAUUGGCUGAAUUCCUAUAUAUACUUUGAGUGGUAAGCCUUUUCUUAUUGUUGCUUAAGAUCCAGGAACUGUAAGGCACACUGGUUAUUAAGAAGAACAGUUACACGGCAAAGGACAAUAGCAGGCCGGAUCUAGACAGCUAAGGAUAUGUGUAUCCAGAUUAGUGAUAAAUGCUUAUUUAGUGACAUGGCAGUUGGUGGCCUUAACAAGGGGCAUUUGGGGUGCCUGUGAGAGGUAGAAGUUUGACUACAAGGCCCUGAGGAUGAAUGGGAAGCAGGAAAGUAGAGACAGGGUGCCCUGCCCCCACCAGAGGUCGAUAAGGGAGAAGGAAACGAGGUUAGAUUGGGAGACUGGGCUCUGAGAAGACAGCUCACACAGGUCCAGCUUCUGGUAAACGUGGGGAAACGUGUUCCUACCUUUGCAGAAUUUUGAGAAAUGACAAAUAUCAUCCAGGUAAUUACUAAGAACGAUGUGAACGCUAGCAGCAUUUUCUGACACAUUAUAUUUGAGAACAUGGUCCGUGUCCUAGGAAAGAGCACAAGAGAAGGUACCAGGUGAGAAGGGUGGGAGAGCCUGGGCAUGCACGCUUUCAAGGGAACUUGUGAUUUGCCCUGAGACUUGGCCAUCUCCCAUGAGCUGCCUUCUUUUUCCUUGUCUUAGUGAACAACCCCUUUGUCUUCCUUGUUUACCUUGUCUUACUCAGGCUUUGUUCUGCAGGCUCUCUUCUUCAUCCUCAACCCUGAAAUGACAGUCAGAUGCCUCCCCUCCCCCCAUGUUCUCUCCCUGUAUUCGCUUCCUGUAGAAACACCCCACUUUCACUCACCACAAUCCCAAUGCAAAGCAGAAAAGUUAAUUAGCCUGCCAAUAUCUUUUUUUGGGGGUAGGGGAAGAUAGAAGAUCCUGAUGAGACCCUAAGCAUAGCUUAUGUUAUUAAAAUAAUCUAUAAAAUACCUUUAAACAAAA
rnacentral:lncRNA from 1 species